AACGAACGCUGGCGGCAGGCUUAACACAUGCAAGUCGAACGCACCGCAAGGUGAGUGGCAGACGGGUGAGUAACGCGUGGGAACGUGCCCUUCAGUUCGGGAUAACCCAGGGAAACUUGGGCUAAUACCGGAUACGUGCGAGAGCAGAAAGAUUUAUCGCUGAAGGAUCGGCCCGCGUCUGAUUAGCUAGUUGGUGAGGUAAUGGCUCACCAAGGCGACGAUCAGUAGCUGGUCUGAGAGGAUGAUCAGCCACAUUGGGACUGAGACACGGCCCAAACUCCUACGGGAGGCAGCAGUGGGGAAUAUUGGACAAUGGGCGCAAGCCUGAUCCAGCCAUGCCGCGUGAGUGAUGAAGGCCUUAGGGUUGUAAAGCUCUUUCGUCCGGGACGAUAAUGACGGUAUCUGGGGAAUAAGCAUCGGCUAACUCUGUGCCAGCAGCCGCAGUAAUAC
rnacentral:rRNA from 1 species